rnacentral:tRNA from 1 species
UCCCUGGUGGCUCAGCUGGUAAAGAACCUGCCUGCAAUGCAGGAGACCUGGGUUUGAUCCCUGGGUUGGGAA